UUUGAUCACUCACCAUAUGCA
rnacentral:piRNA from 1 species